rnacentral:rRNA from 1 species
GAUGAACGCUGACAGAAUGCUUAACACAUGCAAGUCGAUGGGGAAGUGGUGCUUGCACCAUGGUAACCAUGGCGGACGGGUGGGUAACGCGUAAGGAACUUACCUGCGGGACCGGGAUAACAGCAGGAAACUGCUGACAAGACCGGAUAAGGUCAUUAAGCUGCAUAGCUUAGUGAUGAAAGGAGACGCCUGCGGAGAGCCUUGCGUCCUAUUAGCUAGUUGGAGGGGUAACGGCCCACCAAGGCGAAGAUAGGUAGCCGGCCUGAGAGGGUGGACGGCCACAAGGGGACUGAGAUACGGCCCUUACGCCUACGGGAGGCAGCAGUGGGGAAUAUUGGACAAUGGGGGCAACCCUGAUCCAGCAAUUCUGUGUGCACGAAGACGGUUUUCGGAUUGUAAAGUGCUUUCAGCAGGGAAGAAGGAAGUGACGGUACCUGCAGAAGAAGCGACGGCUAAAUACGUG